UACGGGGGGUGCAAACGUUGCUCGGAAUUAUUGGGCGUAAAGCGCACGUAGGCGGUCUUGUAAGUCGGGUGUGAAAGCCCCAGGCUUAACCUGGGAAGUGCACUCGAAACUGCAAGGCUUGAGUAUGGAAGAGGGUCUCGGAAUUCCCGGUGUAGAGGUGAAAUUCGUAGAUAUCGGGAGGAACACCAGUGGCGAAGGCGGAGACCUGGGCCAAUACUGACGCUGAGGAACGAAAGCGUGGGGAGCAAACAGG
rnacentral:rRNA from 1 species